UGGGGAGUAUUGGACAAUGGGGGCAACCCUGAUCCAGCAAUGCCGCGUGGGUGAUGAAGGCCUUCGGGUUGUAAAGCCCUUUCGGCGGGGACGAUGAUGACGGUACCCGCAGAAGAAGCCCCGGCUAACUUCGUGCCAGCAGCCGCGGUAAUACGAAGGGGGCUAGCGUUGUUCGGAUUUACUGGGCGUAAAGCGCGCGUAGGCGGACGUUUAAGUCAGGGGUGAAAUCCCAGGGCUCAACCCUGGAACGGCCUUUGAUACUGGACGUCUGGAGAUCGGGAGAGGUUGGUGGAAUUCCGAGUGUAGAGGUGAAAUUCGUAGAUAUUCGGAGGAACACCAGAAGCGAAGGCGGCCAACUGGCCCGAUACUGACGCUGAGGCGCGAAAGCGUGGGGAGCAAA
rnacentral:rRNA from 1 species